rnacentral:rRNA from 1 species
AGUGAACGCUGGCGGCAGGCCUAACACAUGCAAGUCGAGCGGCAGCGCGUCCGACCACCCUCGGGUGGUCGGAUGGCGGCGAGCGGCGGACGGGUGAGGAAUGCAUCGGAAUCUGCCUCGUUGUGGGGGAUAACGUAGGGAAACUUACGCUAAUACCGCAUACGACCUACGGGUGAAAGUGGGGGACCUUCGGGCCUCACGCGAUGAGAUGAGCCGAUGCCGGAUUAGCUAGUUGGCGGGGUAAAGGCCCACCAAGGCGACGAUCCGUAGCUGGUCUGAGAGGAUGAUCAGCCACACUGGAACUGAGACACGGUCCAGACUCCUACGGGAGGCAGCAGUGGGGAAUAUUGGACAAUGGGGGCAACCCUGAUCCAGCCAUGCCGCGUGUGUGAAGAAGGCCCUUGGUUGUAAGGUCACUUUGUUGGGUAGAAACCGGA